rnacentral:rRNA from 1 species
AUGGUAGGACUAUCAGGUCGGGGACAACCACUGGAAACGGUGGCUAAUACCGGAUGUGCCGAAAGGUGAAAGAUUUAUUGCCUGAAGAUGAGCUCGCGUCUGAUUAGCUAGUAGGUGUGGUAAGAGCGCACCUAGGCGACGAUCAGUAGCUGGUCUGAGAGGAUGAUCAGCCACACUGGGACUGAGACACGGCCCAGACUCCUACGGGAGGCAGCAGUGGGGAAUUUUCCGCAAUGGGCGAAAGCCUGACGGAGCAAUACCGCGUGAGGGAGGAAGGCUCUUGGGUUGUAAACCUCUUUUCUCAGGGAAGAAAAAAAUGACGGUACCUGAGGAAUAAGCAUCGGCUAACUCCGUGCCAGCAGCCGCGAUAAUACGGAGGAUGCAAGCGUUAUCCGGAAUGAUUGGGCGUAAAGCGUCCGCAGGUGGCUAUGUAAGUCUGCUGUUAAAGAGUGAGGCUCAACCUCAUAAGAGCAGUGGAAACUACAUAGCUAGAGUGCGUUCGGGGCAGAGGGAAUUCCUGGUGUAGCGGUGAAAUGCGUAGAGAUCAGGAAGAACACCGGUGGCGAAAGCGCUCUGCUAGGCCGCAACUGACACUGAGGGACGAAAGCUAGGGGAGCGAAUGGGAUUAGAUACCCCCGGUUAU